GAUAGCUCAGUAGCUAGAGCAUGAGACUCUUAAUUUCAGCUUUGUGGGUUCGAGCCCCACAUUGGGCA